rnacentral:siRNA from 1 species
UGAAUGGUUUCUUAUGGUUGC